rnacentral:rRNA from 1 species
CUAUAAGGUCUAACCUGCCCAAUGAGGAUUUAAAUGGCCGCAGUAUUUUGACUGUGCAAAGGUAGCAUAAUUAUUAGUUUUUUAAUUGGAAGCUUGUAUGAAGGGUUGGACGAAAUAAAAUCUGUCUUUAUUUAAAUUAAAGUAGAAUUUAACUUUUAAGUCAAAAGGCUUAAAUUAAUAUAAAAGACGAGAAGACCCUAUAGAUCUUUAUUUAACUUAGUAUUUUAAUAAUUUAGGAUUACUUUAAUUUGAAAUUUAAGUUAAAUUUUGUUGGGGUAAUAUAAAGAUUAAAUUAAUUCUUUUUAUUAAUUACAUUAAUUUAUGAAUUUAUGAUCCAUUAAUAAUGAUUAUAAGAUUAAGUUACCUUAGGGAUAACAGCGUAAUUUUUUUGGAGAGCUCUUAUCGAUAAAAAAGUUUGCGACCUCGAUGUUGGAUUAAAAAUUAGCCUGGGUGCAGAAGCUUGGGAUUUUGGUCUGUUCGACCAUUAAAUUUUUACAUGAUCUGAGUUCAGACCGGCGUAAGCCAGGUCGGUUUCUAUCUUUAUUUAAUUGAAAUAUUUUAGUACGAAAGGACCAAAUAUUUAAUAUAAUGAUAUUUUAUUUUUGAAUAAUAUUGUUACUUUGGCAGAAUAGUGCAAUGAAUUUAGAAUUCAUGAAUGUAGUUUACUACAGGUAAUAUUUGUAUUUAGGAGAUUUAUUAUUAAGAAUUUUAUGUAUAUUAAUUCUUGUAAUUUGUGUUUUGGUUGGAGUGGCUUUUUUAACUUUAUUAGAGCGCAGGGUUUU